UUGAUUCUAGCAUUUGGCUUCUGUCUCUCCAGUAGUGUCCCUCAACUCGUUUCCUGGUCUUCACCCACCUGGGACUCAGCUCUUAUUGGUAGGAUGAACUCUUGCCCUCACCAUUAGGCCUGACUGCCCACAGCCUGGUUGGCAACACAGAACUACAAGGCAAUGGGAAUGAUCCCAGCCAGGUAAUGAUACUGAGCAGACUGGAGAGACUAUGUCCCUUAGGGGCCUAUAUACCUGCCUUGAUCCUCACCUGUGGAUUGGCUGAACCCCUGGUUGAAUGUCCUGGGACCUAUCACAAGACCUGCAGAGACAAAAGGCUUUUGGAAAUAUAAACAGAAGAAGAGCCUUUUUGGCAUCCAUCACUUAGGGGACAAAGGGGAAGUAGUGCCCUUAGAGCUCAUCAAAUGUGGAUCUUCUUGGCCUGAAAAACCAAGACCAGCUGCAACUGACUAUAGGUGCCUGGCGAUGGACCAUGAUGUAACAAAUAUGGUUGGGGUGCCUGCAAUGGAAAAUCCAGUUAUUGUUCUAUAAACCGCUCACAGAUAAAUCAACAAUCACCCAACCAUUAUUCUGAUUGAAAAGAUAAACAAACAGUACCCCAUCCCAGGGCGAUGAACCACCAGAAGAACUUCCUUUCCGAGAAGAAAGAAACAACAAGAAGGGUGUGGAGAUACAGUCCCUCUACAAGAAGCCAACUGUAGUUAGCCAUGAUGCAAUACUGAAAGAAGAUCAUGACGAGUUUACAACCAAUCUGAGGAAACAGAGAGAGUAUCAUUUGCUUGUGCUGCAUCUCCAUCUACCUUCCUGCAGAGAGUCAGAAGGAAAUCACGACAUGCUCUCUUUUAUACUCUGCUGAGACUUCAUCCCGAAUGCGUGUGAGACUCAACAUUCAGAUCUGGAUCUGACCUUCACUCAAACAAUAUUUGGGUCCUGACUUUUGUUUCAGCUCAUUACACAGUAAGCAUUUGGAAGAAUUCUGGACAAUGAGCAUUGACAGUCUGUCCAAUUGAAGAAGAAGGCCAGCAGCUCAUGUUAUCCCACAUUCCAGCACAUCUGCCUAAGAUGUAAGAACAAAAGCAUCAUUGCACAUAUUCCCUGGACAGUCACAUCUUCAAAGAAUAAAAACAUUCAGUAUUGUAUUCUUAAAAGCAAGUCUGAAGGACUUUAAUGGGGCUUUAAUGCUUCCACUGAAGACAAUGAUUCUUCACCCUCUAGCUACAGGUAGUUCCCUUAACUCCUUUGGACUGCUUGCUUCAUCAGGAUGAGGAAGAUCUGGGGCCUGAUUCAAAAGCAGAGAGAAGUCAAUGGAAGUAUUUCCAUUGAUUUCAAUGGGUUUUGGAUCAUGCUCUUGGCCCAUACUCUUCUAUCACAAUAACUGUUUAAUGAAUUUUUUGGAUCACCUCAGGCUUUCUAAAACUGCCAUUUGGAAAGCAUCUAGUCUUUUAUGUACAUACCACAAUUAAUUUGUAUAAAUACAAAAAUGCACACCUUGACUAAUAUGUUAAAGAGCUAAAAAAUUAUAUUACAGAAAAAGCCUGAAGAUACUCCAUUGAUCUCACACUUGUACAAAUGUAAAUGCUGAUUACUACUUCAACACCUCAUUCAUUAUAGCUGAGAUUGUGUUAGAGUGAAUAAUGUUAAUGUACAGCAUUCUGGGCUCAGCUGUGGUUCUCGAUUGCUUUCCUGCUGUAAGAGAUCAAAACUUAAUUUAGUUAUUCUAGAAAAGCAAUUACUGUGAUUAUAAAGGAAACCAAUUACAGCAGCUAGUCACAAGUUAGGGGGAAAGAAAGAUCAUUAUUCCCUCCCAAAUAGUAGUCAAAUCUGACAGAAGGCUGACUACUGAUAUUAUUUCUUGCACAAGUCCAUGCCUUUGAGACCGUACUGUUUGAACCUACUUUCCCACCAAUUAUUUCAAGUUGAGGCCCCACCUUUGAACCAUUAUUGAUUUGAGAUCCCACUGCAAUGUAUUUAGUGAUGUAACUGUUGUGACUUUUUCUCUGUAUUAUACCUUUAACUCACUAAGGUCUCUGCUCUCUGCAAUGACUGGCAGACAUUCUGAGUGCACACUGUUAGCAGAGAAGAACACACCCUUUGCACUCUCUCUCUCUCUCUCUCUCGCAUGGAGACUUUACUUUUGUUCUUUCUUGU